rnacentral:rRNA from 1 species
UGGGGGAUAUUGCACAAUGGGCGAAAGCCUGAUGCAGCGACGCCGCGUGGGGGAUGAAGGCCUUCGGGUUGUAAACUUCUUUUGCUCUGAACAAGGCGCACCAUGGGGUGUGUUGAGUGUAGGGGUUGAUUAGCGCCGGCUAACUACGUGCCAGCAGCCGCGGUAAUACGGAGGGCGCGAGCGUUGUCCGGAAUUAUUGGGCGUAAAGGGCUCGUAGGUGGCUGGUUGCGUCUGUCGUGAAAGCUCAUGGCUUAACUGUGGGUUUGCGGUGGGUACGGGCUGGCUUGAGUGCAGUAGGGGAGGCUGGAAUUCCUGGUGUAGCGGUGGAAUGCGCAGAUAUCAGGAGGAAUACCGGUGGCGAAGGCGGGUCUCUGGGCUGUUACUGACACUGAGGAGCGAAAGCAUGGGGAGCGAACAGG